GGGGGGGGCAAGCGUUGUUCGGAAUUACUGGGCGUAAAGGGCGUGUAGGCGGUCCUGCAAGUCUUUCGUGAAAUCCCACAGCUCAACUGUGGAACUGCGAGGGAAACUGCAGGACUUGAGUCCGGGAGAGGAGAGUGGAAUUCCCAGUGUAGCGGUGAAAUGCGUAGAUAUUGGGAGGAACACCGGUGGCGAAGGCGGCUCUCUGGACCGGUACUGACGCUGAGGCGCGAAAGCUAGGGGAGCAAACGGGAUUAGAUACCCCGGUAGUCCUAGCCUUAAACGAUGAGCACUUGGUGUGGCGGGUAUCGACCCCCUGCCGUGCCGAAGCUAACGCAUUAAGUGCUCCGCCUGGGGGAGUACGGUCGCAAGGCUG
rnacentral:rRNA from 1 species